GAUAAACGCUGGCGGCGCACAUAAGACAUGCAAGUCGAACGGAAGUCGUUAUAAAAAGGAUUGAAGACUUAUCUGAUUGAUAUUUUAUAACAAUGGCUUUAGUGGCGGACUGGUGAGUAACGCGUAAGCAAUCUGCCUGUUAGAGGGGAAUAACAAUGAGAAAUCAUUGCUAAUACCGCAUAUGCCAUAUGAAUCACAUGGUUCAAGUGGGAAAGGAGCAAUCCGCUAACAGAUGAGCUUGCGUCUGAUUAGUUAGUUGGUGGGGUAACGGCCUACCAAGACGAUGAUCAGUAGCCGGACUGAGAGGUUGAACGGCCACAUUGGGACUGAGAUACGGCCCGG
rnacentral:rRNA from 1 species